UAGUCAUAUGCUUGUCUCAAAGAUUAAGCCAUGCAUGUCUAAGUAUAAGCAAUCUAUACUGUGAAACUGCGAAUGGCUCAUUAAAUCAGUUAUAGUUUAUUUGAUAGUACCUACUACUUGGAUAACCGUAGUAAUUCUAGAGCUAAUACAUGCGUCAAAUCCCGACUUACGAAGGGAUGUAUUUAUUAGAUAAAAAACCAAUGCGUGGCAACACGGAAACAUGGUGAUUCAUAAUAACUUUGCGGACCGAAUGGCCUCGAGCUGUCGGUAAAUCAUUCAAAUUUCUGCCCUAUCAACUUUCGAUGGUAAGGUAUUGGCUUACCAUGGUUUUAACGGGUAACGGAGAAUUAGGGUUCGAUGCCGGAGAGGGGGCCUGAGAAAUGGCCACCACAUCCAAGGAAGGCAGCAGGCGCGCAAAUUACCCAAUCCAGAUUCUGGGAGGUAGUGACAAGAAAUAACAAUGCUGGGCCUUACAGGUCUAGCAAUUGGAAUGAGAACAAUUUAAAUCCCUUAUCGAGGAUCCAUU
rnacentral:rRNA from 1 species